UUGACUGGGUUGGUUCACCUAUCAGAUGGUAAAGUAGGUGUUCUUAGGUGAGCUCAAGGAAGAGAGAAAUCUCCCAUGGAGCAGGACAAAAACUCACUUGAUCUUGAUUAUCUAUAUUUAUAUGACUGUGAAAGUAGGACCAUGAAAAUUUUCUGAUCUUUGGAGUUACCACUGUGAAGCAGAAU
rnacentral:ncRNA from 1 species